AGCUCCAAUAGCGUAUAUUAAAGUUGUUGCAGUUAAAAAGCUCGUAGUUGAACUUCAGACUUGGUCGGUGGUCUGCCUAACGGUAUGUACUGCUUGACCGAGUCUUACCUCUUGGUGAGCCGGCAUGUCCUUCACUGGGUGUGUCGGGGAACCAGGAUCUUUACCUUGAGAAAAUCAGAGUGUUCAAAGCAGGCCUAUGCCCGAAUGCAUUAGCAGGGAAUAAUAAAAUAGGACGUGUGUCGCUAUUUUGUUGGUUUCUAGUGACGCCGUAAUGAUUAAUAGGGACAGUUGGGGGCAUUAGUAUUCGGUUGCUAGAGGUGAAAUUCUUGGAUUUACCGAAGACUAACUACUGCGAAAGCAUUUGCCAAGGAUGUUUUCA
rnacentral:rRNA from 1 species